UGAAUACGAGACGCUAAGGCAUCGAAGUAGUGUAUGUCAUACUUCCAAGAAAAGCUUGCACUGUCAUAGAUAAAAAACGCCUGUACCAUAACCGACACAGGUGGGUAGGUAGAGUAUACUAAGGGGCGCGAGAUAACUCUCUCUAAGGAACUCGGCAAAAUAACUCCGUAACUUCGGGAGAAGGAGUGCCUUAUUCGUAAGGUUGCAAUAACAAGAUCCAAGCAACUGUUUAUCAAAAACACAGGUCUCCGCUAAGUCGUAAGACGAUGUAUGGGGGCUGACGCCUGCCCAGUGCCAGAAGGUUAAAGAAGUUGGUUAGCAAUUGCGAAGCUGAUAACUGAAGCCCUGGUGAACGGCGGCCGUAACUAUAACGGUCCUAAGGUAGCGAAAUUCCUUGUCGGGUAAGUUCCGACCCGCACGAAAGGCGUAAUGAUUUGGAUACUGUCUCGGAGAGGGGCUCGGUGAAAUAGACUUGUCUGUGAAGAUGCGGACUACCUGCACCAGGACAGAAAGACCCUAUGAAGCUUUACUGUAACUUGAAAUUGAAAUUGGACUUUAUUCGCGCAGUAUAGGUGGGAGGCGUUGAUUAUAAUCUUGUGGGAUUAUUGGAGCCAUCAGUGAGAUACCACUCUUGUAAUGUUAGAUUUCUAACUUUGAAUCAUUAUCUGGUCAAAGAACAGUUUCAGGCGGGCAGUUUGACUGGGGCGGUCGCCUCCUAAACGGUAACGGAGGCGUACAAAGGUUUCCUCUGAACGGUUAGAAAUCGUAUCUAGAGUGUAAAGGCAUAAGGAAGCUUGACUGUGAGACCUACAAGUCGAGCAGGGACGAAAGUCGGUCUUAGUGAUCUGACGGUACUGAGUGGAAAGGCCGUCACUCAACGGAUAAAAGUUACUCUAGGAUAACAGGCUGAUCUCCCCCAAGAGUUCACAUCGACGGGGAGGUUUGGCACCUCGAUGUCGGCUCAUCGCAUCCUGGGGCGGUAGUACGUCCCAAGGGUUGGGCUGUUCGCCCAUGAAAGCGGUACGCGAGCUGGGUUCAGAACGUCGUGAGACAGUUCGGUCCAUAUCCGGUGUAGGCGUUAGAAUAUUGAGAGGAGCCUUCUUUAGUACGAGAGGACCGAGAAGGACAUACCUCUGGUGUACCAGUUAUCGUGCCAACGGUAAACGCUGGGUAGCUAUGUAUGGAGUGGAUAACCGCUGAAAGCAUCUAAGUGGGAAGCCCACCUCAAGAUAAGUAUUCUCAC
rnacentral:rRNA from 1 species